CAGUAUUCUUUUUAAGCUGGACUGAUUCUGGCUUCAUUCAACUUGUGGUUUUUUUACUGCGCUGCUGAAAUAUUGCGUGCGCGGUAGGUACCAUGAGCAGUUUGUUUGCCGGGUCUUUCUAUACCAAAAGCUUGAAAAACCUCCUACACACUUUGUUUUCUUAUUAAAGACAAAUUUGCUUUGGCUAGCUGUUGCGUAAAAGCACAGUCUGGCCGAAGGUUUUAUAACAACUCUUGUUUUUGUUUUCCAACUCGCUUGGAGAAUUAGAAACGUGUUUAAAUAAUACUAGUCAUAAUCAUGAAGUCUUUGUAAAGAAGCUUUAACUAAAAUUUA
rnacentral:rRNA from 1 species